rnacentral:rRNA from 1 species
UACGUAGGUGGCAAGCGUUGUCCGGAUUUAUUGGGCGUAAAGAGCCCGCAGGCGGCCUGUUAAGUUUCAGGUGAAAUCUCCUGGCUCAACUGGGAGAGGUCCUGGAAAACUGGCAGGCUUGAGGCAGGGAGAGGGAUGUGGAAUUCCCGGUGUAGUGGUGAAAUGCGUAGAUAUCAGGAGGAACACCAGUGGCGAAGGCGGCAUCCUGGCCCUGUCCUGACGCUCAGGGGCGAAAGCGUGGGGAGCAAACCGG